rnacentral:rRNA from 1 species
CAAAAACAUGUCUUUUUGAAUAUUUAUUUAAAGUCUAGCCUGCCCAAUGAGGAAUUGAAUGGCCGCGGUACUUUAACCGUGCUAAGGUAGCAUAAUCAUUUGUCUUUUAAUUGAAGGCUGGAAUGAAGGGUUGGACGAAAUAUCUGCUUUCUUUGGUUUUAUUGAAUGAAUUUAAUUUUUUAGUUAAAAAGCUAAAAUUUUUUUAUUGGACGAGAAGACCCUAUAGAUCUUUAUAUUAUUUGUCUUUCCAUUUUUUGGUGAAUUCAUUAAUGUUAUUUCAAAUUUUAUUUGAUUGGGGUGAUUGUGGAAUUUAUAUAACUUCUAUUAUCUGUUUUCAUGAAUUAAUGUUUUUUUGAUCCAUUUUUAUUGAUUAUAAGUUUAAGUUACCUUAGGGAUAACAGCGUAAUUUUUUCGGAGAGUUCUUAUCGAUGAAGGAGUUUGCGACCUCGAUGUUGGAUUAAAAUAAKUGGUGUAAUGCA